rnacentral:lncRNA from 1 species
UGUGAACUGAGGCUACGUUUCCAGUUUGUGACUAUAUGGUCCAGGCUAUUGGGACUGGCACUAUGUCCUGCUGCUGGUGAGAAUGGUAGUGCCAGGGUUGUGGAUCCACUAAUGAAAUCCAAGGUUUGACCCCGAAACAUCUAUUUAACAUCUGGAAAGUUAAAAUUUCCUGGGGCGAACGUGCAAAAGGGAUCUCUUUUUUAUGGACAGAAGAGGGAAACAGUUUUUCAAGGAAACACAAAUUGCAGCUGUUCCUUAAGGUGUCUGAUCUCUCCUCUCGAGAAGCCAAUUUCUUUUUUAAUUUCCUCUGA